AACCUGCCCAGAAGCGGGGGAUAACACCUGGAAACAGAUGCUAAUACCGCAUAACAACUUGGACCGCAUGGUCCGAGUUUGAAAGAUGGCUUCGGCUAUCACUUUUGGAUGGUCCCGCGGCGUAUUAGCUAGAUGGUGGGGUAACGGCUCACCAUGGCAAUGAUACGUAGCCGACCUGAGAGGGUAAUCGGCCACAUUGGGACUGAGACACGGCCCAAACUCCUACGGGAGGCAGCAGUAGGGAAUCUUCCACAAUGGACGAAAGUCUGAUGGAGCAACGCCGCGUGAGUGAAGAAGGGUUUCGGCUCGUAAAACUCUGUUGUUAAAGAAGAACAUAUCUGAGAGUAACUGUUCAGGUAUUGACGGUAUUUAACCAGAAAGCCACGGCUAACUACGUGCCAGCAGCCGCGGUAAUACGUAGGUGGCAAGCGUUGUCCGGAUUUAUUGGGCGUAAAGCGAGCG
rnacentral:rRNA from 1 species